ACUUAAAUUGAAGAGUUUGAUCAUGGCUCAGAUUGAACGCUGGCGGCAGGCCUAACACAUGCAAGUCGAACGGUAACAGGAAGCAGCUUGCUGCUUCGCUGACGAGUGGCGGACGGGUGAGUAAUGUCUGGGAAACUGCCUGAUGGAGGGGGAUAACUACUGGAAACGGUGGCUAAUACCGCAUAACGUCGCAAGACCAAAGAGGGGGACCUUCGGGCCUCUUGCCAUCAGAUGUGCCCAGAUGGGAUUAGCUUGUUGGUGAGGUAACGGCUCACCAAGGCGACGAUCCCUAGCUGGUCUGAGAGGAUGACCAGCCACACUGGAACUGAGACACGGUCCAGACUCCUACGGGAGGCAGCAGUGGGGAAUAUUGCACAAUGGGCGCAAGCCUGAUGCAGCCAUGCCGCGUGUAUGAAGAAGGCCUUCGGGUUGUAAAGUACUUUCAGCGGGGAGGAAGGUGUUGUGGUUAAUAACCACAGCAAUUGACGUUACCCGCAGAAGAAGCACCGGCUAACUCCGUGCCAGCAGCCGCGGUAA
rnacentral:rRNA from 1 species